GAGAGGAGGCGCUCACAAGAACGAAGUUCUUGUUUUUCAUAGUGCCGACGACUUGCCGCCGAACGGAAGUGAGGGGGCGUUACCUUAA
rfam:Roseburia sp. CAG:309 genomic scaffold, scf323